AUUGAACGCUGGCGGAAUGCUUUACACAUGCAAGUCGAACGGCAGCACGGGGCAACCUGGUGGCGAGUGGCGAACGGGUGAGUAAUACAUCGGAACGUGCCCAAUCGUGGGGAUAACGUAGCGAAAGUUACGCUAAUACCGCAUACGAUCUACGGAUGAAAGCGGGGAUCGCAAGACCUCGCGCGAAUGGAGCGGCCGAUGUCAGAUUAGGUAGUUGGUGGGGUAAAGGCUCACCAAGCCAACGAUCUGUAGCUGGUCUGAGAGGACGACCAGCCACACUGGAACUGAGACACGGUCCAGACUCCUACGGGAGGCAGCAGUGGGGAAUUUUGGACAAUGGGCGCAAGCCUGAUCCAGCCAUUCCGCGUGCAGGAUGAAGGCCUUCGGUUGUAACUAG
rnacentral:rRNA from 1 species